rnacentral:rRNA from 1 species
UACGUAGGGUGCGAGCGUUGUCCGGAAUUAUUGGGCGUAAAGAGCUCGUAGGCGGUCUGUCGCGUCGAUCGUGAAAACUUGGGGCUUAACCCUGAGCUUGCGGUCGAUACGGGCAUGACUGGAGUUCGGCAGGGGAGACUGGAAUUCCUGGUGUAGCAGUGAAAUGCGUAGAUAUCAGGAGGAAUACCGAUGGCGAAGGCAGGUCUCUGGGCUGACACUGACGCUCAUGCACGAAAGCGUGGGGAGCGAACAGG